rnacentral:rRNA from 1 species
UACGGGGGGGCAAGCGUUGUUCGGAAUUACUGGGCGUAAAGGGCUCGUAGGCGGCCAACUAAGUCAGACGUGAAAUCCCCGGCUUAACCGGGAACUGCGUCUGAUACUGGAUGGCUUGAGGUUGGGAGAGGGAUGCGGAAUUCCAGGUGUAGCGGUGAAAUGCGUAGAUAUCUGGAGGAACACCGGUGGCGAAGGCGGCAUCCUGGACCAAUUCUGACGCUGAGGUGCGAAAGCUAGGGAGCGAACGGG